GUUGUUGUUGUUGUUGAUAUUAUUGCUAUUUCUUGGGCCGCUCCCGCGGCAUAUGGAGGUUCCCAGGAUAGGGGUCCAAUCGGAGCUGUAGCCACCAGCCUACGCCAGAGCCACAGCAACUCGGGAUCCGAGCCGCGUCUGCAACCUACACCACAGCUCACGGCAACGCCGGAUCGUUAACCCACUGAGCAAGGGCAGGGACCGAACCUGCAACCUCAUGGUUCCUAGUCGGAUUCGUUAACCACUGCGCCACGACGGGAACUCCCAAUAAUUUUUUUUAAAUGUUUCCUGCCAUUUCAGAAAACAGUGACUGCUGCCUGCCAUCUCCAAGCUAGGAGCCACUGGAACCACCCAGACAGUGUAACCUGAAGGGAAUUCAAGAUGGAGAAAAAUAGGAUACCAGGCCUAGAUGGUGAAGAUGCAUAUCCAUGUAAUUACUUCAAUGAGCCCAGACUCUUACAUUUUCCUAUACAUAGAAAAGCACUAAAAUGACCAACUUGAGAUGUCUGCUUUUUGUGAUUAGCAGUAAUUUUUGAUAUUCAAAUACAUGUUCAUCAUUUUGUUUUGUUUACAGCAAAAAUUCCUAUAUAUCCUGGCUCCUCCCUUACCUCUUCAGAGCAGUUCCUUAAAGCUAUCUGAAAGGCUGUCUCCCAGGCUAUAGUCCUCAGUAAGAUUCCCAAAUAAAACAUAACUCUCAUCUUUCAGGUUGUGUGUUUCCCUUCAGUUGACCUAUCUGUGUGUCCUUGUUCCCAGAACACCCAGCCUCAACAUCUUGUGUGGGUGCUUGAUGAACCACUGCAGAGGUAAGGCACCUGGCUUAGAGCAGGUUGCUGGGAGGAUGCGUCCCCACCCCCUACACCCUCUACCAGUAGGAUUUCAGGAGCAUUGCACUAAACAACACCACUGACCAAACACUGACCUUAGCUUACUAAGGGUAGAAAGAAGGAGAAAGGGGAAAGUACAAUUCAUGCAUAUUCUUAUGAAAUACGAUUUUCAAAUUGAAAUAAUCUAGAACAUACUUUGUACCUAAGUUAGUGAAAGCACAUAGGAUUUUUUGUUCUCUCAGCUGCAAUAUGACCUUUAACCAAAAGGGACCAGAAAUUAUAUACCCAAAUGAGGAUAAUAAUUAUCUUUACUUCAUGGAGUUGAUAUAAGUAAAUGAAAACAAAGCAUACAAAAUAUGCAACAUUAUCUUUAACGCAGAGAACACUCAGUAAAUAUUGACUGCUGCUAUAAUAACGACUAUAUAUAUAUAUAUGUAAAUAUAUAUUUGCCAGUUACAAUGCCUUUACUGGGACAUUUUACCUUAUAGAGCCUCCUCCUCUGGAAUCACCUGGACAUCCUAACUCCCAUUCUUCCUAACUACCUAAAUAUGGAUUUGGGGUGGGAUUUGAUAAAUAGAGACAACUGAAAAUCAGUUAAAUCUAAACCCAGUGUCUAUAAACUUCUUGACUAUUAGCUCUAAGUCUUAUUCUUUUAUUUUUCUUUAUAACCAUAAUCUUUCACAGUGCUUGGUACUUAACUCCAGCAAAUAUUUAUUUAAAGAGUCGAAUAUUUGUUGAAUAAAUCAUGGAAUGAAUAAAGUAGGUGAACAAGCAAUUUACUCCGCUUCUUCACCCAACCUAGCUUCAAGACUCUAUUAGAAUGCUCUCAAUGGGUGGAGAGAUGUAUCCAUAUAAAUUGGAAGUAUAAACAAUUUUUCUAGCUUUCCUUCAAUAUCCUCUGCUAAACACUUUUCAUGUUCUCUUGUUUCUGCAAUUAGUCUUAGAAGUCUAAGGUCAAAGUGUCAGCAGACGGGUGUCCCUUCUUGAGGCUCAGGGGCAAAUCUGUUUCCUUGCUUUUUCUAACCUUGGGAUUACACUGGGCCCACCUUGAUGAUAUCCAUCCCAAGAUCCUUAUCACAUCUGCAAAGUACCUUUUACCAUGUAAGGUAACAUAGUCAUAGGUUCCCAAGAUGAGGAUGUUGCCACCUUUAAGGAGCAGCCAUUACUCAACCAACCCACUAUGUUUGGAGUAUUUUUCACACAGGCUUAAUCCCAUCCAAGUAGAAUCUUAACUUUACUUUUGAUAAGACCUGAGCAUGUGACUGAAUAAUAUGGCCAAUCUCAGAUGCCUGGGAUUUCAGUUGUGAAGUGAAAAACAUGAGAAAGUAGGUCUGAUGUAUAAUCCAUUUAUUUUCUGGUGAGAUUGGUUGCAGAAUUGUCUGGCUCUCUGGACACUGGUGGUGUCUAGUGGCAAGUCCACAUCAGUGAUGAGGUCUGGUUGCCUUGCCUAGCAGUGGUAGGGCAGGGGUGUUUUCUCGAACAAUUCCAUAGUACCAUAGCACAGUCUUGUAAGGGUAGCCUCCAAUUCUGACUCUUUAAUCCACCCAUAUAUUCAGUGCAUACCUGUUUUAAUGAAUUUCUUUCCUGUUUAUAUCCGUUUUUAAGGGGUUAUUUUCUUUACAACAAAGGACCUCAGUGGACACAACCUCCUGUCCUGCGUUGUAAGAAGAGCCUGCAGACGUUGCUGGAGUGCUCCUAAAAAACUAGAACACCAAUAUUUUGGGGCCUAUUAGAUGCCAAGUACCUGGCAAAAAAGGCUAUGAAGAAAUGCAGUGCAAUCAUUCAAACUCAGGGCUGGUAAACCGCACCAUCUUUUGUAAUAGCAGGUGUGAGAAGGAGGAUGGAAGCCAUAUGUGGCCCUGCUCUGAGAUUUUCUCAAUCUAAACAGACCAAUACUAAUAUAAUGCUGUUUGUGAAGGGAUAGGAAGAGAGAUUUUGAUUAUUGAUGUUGAUCAGCAUGAAUGCACCCCUCAGUGUUUUUCAAAGCAUUAGUUGUUUAUAUUAAACAGUCUUGGGAUAGUCCUUAGCUUGGAAAGCAAAAGUGCAUCUGACUUAAGUCUGCUUUUCACCCAGCGCCACUCUGCAUUAUCUACAGCUCACUCACCCAGACCCUUAAUUCACCUUUUUGUGGGACAGGAUAAUUUGGAUUGUUCAAAAUAAUUAUUUUUCUUUUGCUCUGUGUGCUGUGUCUUCUGCUUACAUUUAGGAGUUCAAAUCUGACUCUGGCAAUUAGUAGCUGGGUGAAUUAGACAAGUCACUCAAUCUCUCUGAACUUCCUCCUUCUAUAAAAUAGUACUAUUAUGUCCCCAACACAGGAUUGUACAGAAGACUGAAUAUGUGUGGUUGUGGCCAAGCUCAAGCUCUGGAUGGUGGUGGCUGAGCUCAAGCUCUGGAUUCAGACAUAACGGAGUUCAAAUCGUAGGUUACAUCUGACCAACGGCGUUCCCUUCAGCAAGUUAACUGGGUGAUUCUGUCUCCUCUCAAUAAAAUGGAAGAUGGAUGAGACUUACAAAGUGAAAUGAUUAAAUGAGAUAAUAGAUAGAGAGCUCUCUGUACAAUGUCUUUUACUAAUACUAUAAACAGUUUAUGUGGAUAUCUGGAGUGGAUUAAGGAGAUAUCAAAUGAGAGAAUAAAAUCAACAUUGUUUUCAUGCACUCUCCCCCACCACCCUCUUUUAACAUACUCUCUAGUGAUCCCAAAUGUUCAGAGAUGAACUUUAAAAGCUGCUACUACCGACAGAGGUCAGACCCAUGGUUUUCUGAGUUCAAGAACAGGAGAGGGAUUGAACAUGAUGGGGUGCAGAGAAAUUUAGGGCAUAAUGGAAAUGUUCUAUCUCGACUGUGGCAUUUAUUACAUGACUAUGUUCUUUUUCCAAAUUCAUCAAACAGUAGCUUUUAAAUGAAUGCAUUAUAUAUAUAUUACACUUCAAUAAAGUUGAUUUUACUUAUUGUAUUACAUACACUCUAGAGUAGAGGUUGGCCAAGUUUUUUCCGUGAAAGGACAGAUAGUAAAUAUUUUAGGCUUUGCCAGCCACAGGCUCUGUUAAAACUACUCCACUCUGUUGUCAUAAUUCAAAAGCAGCCACAGAGAAAGACAAAAAAAUAUAUAAAUGAAUGUGUGUGGCUGUGUUUCAAUAAAAUUCUAUUUAUAGACUGAUAUUUGGUUUCAUAUAAUCUUCAUGUUAUAAAAUAUUUUUCCUUUUGAUUGUCUUUCCAAUCUUUUCAAAAUGUAAAAAUCAUUCUCAGCUCCUAGCCUUACAGAAACAGGCAGCAGGGAGGGUUUGGUCCAUAGGCCAUUGUUUGCCAAGCCCUGUUCCACAGUUCAAAGGAGUCUCUGUCAAGCAGCAAUCUGACAUCUGCUUUAGGGGCUUCUCAGUGCAAAUGCCAUGUCUAAGAGGGCUGGGAAUCUCGCUCCUGUGAAUCCUAUAGAGUCCUUGCCAGAACCUGCUCCCUCUGUGGCUACGCUAAGCCCCACUGCUUCCUGACUUCAAUUUCCCCAUCAGUCCAGAGGACAAAAAUUGUCUCCCAGAGGCCCACAAAGCUCAUUCGGCUUGUGUCUUGGGAGAAAAUGCUCUAUCCAAGUGCAGUAACUGAUCAUGACUCAGGUUAUAUGUCCAGCUUGUCCCAAACAUCAGGGGGAAAGGUUGGAUUCUUCAGGUUGUCAUUUCUAAAAUUGCUUAACUUUGCAGGUGAUGUUCUCAUUUCUGAAUAUGGUAUGACCCCCACAUUCCCCAAAGAAGCGGACUGUUUUUUCGAAGAACUGGCAGCAGAACAGUACUCUCAAAGCUUGCUUCUUCUCUGCCAAGCUGCCAUCCCCAGCACAAACCAUCCUUCAGGAGAGGCUUCCCCUGAGAAUAUUUGCUUGGGCAAGGCCAGAGGUACUGUAUACUCCUCUGACAGCAAAGGGAGCUUUAAAAAAUCCAAACCAGCAAAAAUUGAGAUUUAGCUUUUAGUUUCUGACACUGACAGGGGCUUAAGGAACCUCUUUGGGGUGGUAAACACUGCCAAGACGUCCACAAAGUCAAGAUAAUUCUGGAGUUUCUAAAGCCUCAAGGUUUAAGAUUUUUGUUUAAAUAUUUCCUCUAAAAUGUAGCCAGUCUUUCAUUUAAAAAAAAAAAAAAGGUUUCAUUAAAAAACAAGUAUUGGAGUCAAUCAUUUUCAUUAGGGCUUGUAAACUUUUCCAGGGCCAGGCAGUAAAUAUAUUAGGCAUUUCAGGCAAUACAGUCUAUGUCGUAGUGACAGAACUCUGCUGACUAUGGUAUAAAAGCAGCCAGAGAUGAUGCAUAAAUGGAUAAGUAUGACUGUAUUUCAAGAAAAAUUUUUUUUUACAAAACUAAGUGGUGGGCCAGAUUUGGCCUAUAGGGUAUUAUUUGCUGAGCCUUGUGCUGAGCUCUAGCAUCUCUACAAGGGACUAGGUAGGCUGGGGAAUCAAAAAUAAAACUUAGAUCAACAGAUAUUGCUUGGAAUACCUGCAGGUAAUCUUGUAACCAUUAUUACAGAUCAGAGAGUAAAACCCAACCAAUAAGCAUAUUGUGCUAAGAGUGGGAACAGGGUAUACAAGUAGACUAGGUGAAUAGAGAUAGACUACAAUGACUUUUCCAUCUGAUAAAGGAAAAAGGUCAGUGAUGAGCAGCAUGAGAUUCGUAAAAGCCGAUGGGGUAUAAAGAACCAAGAGUCCACUGCUAACUGAACCAACUGCACCAACAUUCACAGAGAAGGACAUCUCUGGCUGAACUUGUGAGAUGGGUAUGAUUCAGGUGGGUAAAAAUGAGAUGGAGAAAUACAACACAAAUAAUAGUAUA
rnacentral:lncRNA from 1 species